rnacentral:rRNA from 1 species
UAGGGAUACCCGCUGAACUUAAGCAUAUCAAUAAGCGGAGGAAAAGAAACCAACAGGGAUUGCCUCAGUAACGGCGAGUGAAGCGNCAACAGCUCAAAUUUGAAAUCUGGCUCUUUCAGGGUCCGAGUUGUAAUUUGUAGAAGAUGCUUUGGGUGUGGCUCCGGUCUAAGUUCCUUGGAACAGGACGUCAUAGAGGGUGAGAAUCCCGUACGUGACUGGGUGCCUUCGCUCGUGUAAAGCUCUUUCGACGAGUCGAGUUGUUUGGGAAUGCAGCUCAAAAUGGGUGGUAAAUUUCAUCUAAAGCUAAAUAUUGGCCAGAGACCGAUAGCGCACAAGUAGAGUGAUCGAAAGAUGAAAAGCACUUUGGAAAGAGAGUUAAACAGUACGUGAAAUUGUUGAAAGGGAAGCGCUUGCAACCAGACUUGCAUGCUGUUGAUCAUCCGAGCUUUUGCCCGGUGCACUCGAUAGUAUUCAGGCCAGCAUCGGUUUUGGUGGGCGGAUAAAGGCCCUGGGAAUGUAGCUUCUUUCGGGGAGUGUUAUAGCCCUCGGUGCAAUGCGCCCUACCGGGACCGAGGACCGCGCUUCGGCUAGGAUGCUGGCGUAAUGGUUGUAAGCGACC